rnacentral:lncRNA from 1 species
UUUUUUUUUUUUUUUGUGAUUAAGGCCUAAGCGUGAGAAAUCUUACUUGCUGGGCUAAAUAAUGUUGUUGUCACUAGCUAAAAGAUAAAUAACUUGGAGAAAAGUCUUGAGAGAUUGGGAAGAAGGGAGAGAACGGCAGGGUGGCAGCAAUGGUAAAAAUCCCUAAUGUUUUAAUUUACAGCCCAAACUUCUGAUAUAUAAGUUUGUAUGUAUUGACUCAGAUGCAAAAAAGAAAAAAAACACACUUCAUUUUAUAAAUAUCAAAGUACAUGCUUAAAGCUAAAUUUCUACUAAUUUAUUCCACAGUAUUUAGCUUGCCUAGAAUAGCUAAUAAGUUAUUCACUUAUAUGCUUUUGAAAAUACAGAGCCUUGUUUUUACUGACUUGUUUGUAGUUUGCAAAAAUUGAAAAAAAUACUAAUAAUUUGGAAAAAUUGCAUUCGUUAGUAUUUUGUAAAAUACAGAAGCUUUCAGCCCUCUGUCAGUUCAUAGAUUUAAAAAGAUUAAUGGUAGGAAAAUAAAAUUGUGAGAAACCAAAUGCUCCUAAAGGUGGUUUAGCUCUUCUUGAGAUAUAUAUACUAAAUUGGUGUCCUAGAACUCCAGGCUGUAUGUAGGCAAAUUAUUUUAAUGUUAUUACUGGGUAGAUAUACUUAACUGCAUCUCGAAGUCCGCCCUUUCUUCUGCAAAAAUACAACAUGUACUACAAGGGAGUGGACUCUAAUUAAUUGUAAGAGGGAGAGCAUGCAAAGUUGGUACUUGCUUCCUCACUCUUAACCGUUGGCCGGGAGAUCGUUGAGGUUGGCAAGGUGGGCACCGUGAGGAAAGUUUCAAGGUGAGGGGGAUGGUGAUGUUCAGCUUUACAAAUUUGCAUGAAAAAUUUAGAGGGCCUUUCAGACUGCUUUUUAUGUGGUAGUGGCACUAAUAAUGGAACCCGCAAAGAUAGCGUGUAGAACCAAGUCCUAGUGCACAGGGCACUAGCAGAGAUGGUCAGAGCAGUGGGAAAAGCAGGCCGCUCAAAGAUAGCUGCCUGUUGGUGGCUCCCAUUCAUCUCAAGUGUGUGCACCAUCUUUUUAAGCCCUUUAAAAGAGUGCUGGACACAGUUGGGGGUGAGAUGGAGUUUGGUUAGUGGCCAUAGUAAUUGCAAACAGAGCAAAAUGAAAUCCCACGUGACAAUAUUUGAAUGGGAUGUGUUAGUUGAGAUGAAAUGAUUGGGUUAUCAAGCAUCCCCAAUCUUUGACAUUAUUUCAUUACAUUUAUGUGGCCUUGAAACAGAAUUAGAAAUUGCUGCUAUCUUUAAUAAUCUUGGAAGAUACGCAGGCUUGUAAACAACCACACUUUUCAUGUAGCAGCAUGAAGCCAAAAGAAAAAGCUUUUAAAUUCUACGAUAUUGGUUCUUCACAGUAGGUUUUCCUUAAAACAGGGUGGCUCUAUCUGAUCUUAGCAUCUCUCUGCUCUUUCUCUAGGGCUAAUCUCUAGGCUCUUAAAAAUCUACUCAUACCAAUCUUAAAAGCUCUGAAAAGUAUUUUUUAAGAAUGAUAAUUAUUUGGUAGUUUGGGUUCUUUCUUUCUUUCUUUAUCUUUAUUUAAAAAAAAAAAAAAAAAAAAAAAAAAAGCAUGGCAAGUUCCAGCACACUGAGUUGAGAUUUUCUUGUCCCUGAAGACCAAUCAAUUUCAUAGAUAUUUAAGAUUGAUUCCACACUUUGUUUUCAAGGAGAAUGCCUGCAUUCUCCUCUAAGGAAGAGCAAAUGAAUUUUGUUUUUCACCCCCACGGGAUUGGACCUCAAGAAGUAACUCUAAAAAACAGAGAACACAAAUGCCUCAGUUGUAUUAAGCUUAGAUUCAAAUUAUUAUGUUCACUUGAAAAAAUGAUUUCCUGGGGGCCUUUUGGCAACUUCCCUUUUCAAUGUAGAGAAGAACUUAGUCACCCUGAAACCCUACACAAUAAAUGGAACUUGUAGAUGUGGGCAGAAGGUUUGGGGGUGGACAUUGUGUGUGUUUAAAUUAAACCCUUUAUCACUGAGAAGCUGUUGUAUGGGUCAGAGAAAAUGAAUGCUUAGAAGCUGUUCACAUCUUCAAGAGCAGAAGCAAACCACAUGUCUCAGCUACAUUAUUUAUUUUUUAUGCAUAAAGUGAAUCAUUUCUUCUGUAUUAAUUUCCAAUGGGUUUUACCCUCUAUUUAAAUGCUUUGGAAAACAGUGCAUUGACAAUGGGUUGAUAUUUUUCUUUAAAAGAAAAAUAUAAUUAUGAAAGCCAAGAUAAUCUGAAGCCUGUUUUGUUUUAAAACUUUUUAUGUUCUGUGGUUGAUGUUGUUUGUUUGUUUGUUUGUUUGUUUUUAUUAUUAUUUUUUUUUUGGCAUACUACAUGCAGUUCUUUAACCGACGUCUGUUUGGCUAAUGUAAUUAAAGUUGUUAAUUUAUAUGAGUGCAUUUCAACUAUGUCAAUGGUUUCUUAAUAUUUAUUGUGUAGAAGUACUGGUAAUUUUUUUAUUUACAAUAUGUUUAAAGAGAUAACAGUUUGAUAUGUUUUCAUGUGUUUAUAGCAGAAGUUAUUUAUUUCUAUGGCAUUCCAGCGGAUAUUUUGGUGUUUGCGAGGCAUGCAGUCAAUAUUUUGUACAGUUAGUGGACAGUAUUCAGCAACGCCUGAUAGCUUCUUUGGCCUUAUGUUAAAUAAAAAACCUGUUUGGGAUUUAUUUUUUAUUUUUAUUUUUAUUUUAUGUCUUAUUGGUUUUCCAAGAUCAACUUUGCACACAUACGGCUACACCCUUUGCUGGGUGAUUAUUUCGUUUCUCCUGUAAUUAUCGAGAAGCGUAUGAGAAACAGACUGAAUGGGAGAGAGAAGACAAAAGCUGGAUGGAACAAGAGUACUCAGAGAGGAAAAGAAUAAAUAUUGCUGUGGCAGGGCUUUGUAAUAGGCUGCAGAUGCUUGGACCAGUAGUAGUUAUAUUUUAUUCAUUUUGUUAAUUUCCCAUUUCUCAAAGUGUAGUGGCAAGUAACAUGAAAUAAAGUAAAAUUCCUGCCUUCCCUCCCCCUUCCCACCAUCCCUCCCCCUUCCCUUCUUUCCUCCCUCCUUCUCUCCUUCUUUCCUUUCCUCCUUCCCUCCUUCUUCUCCCUUUCCCUUCUGGCUAGAAAAUUGGUAUUGCAGGGAGUGACUAGGGCUAGAAACAGAUAUAACUUAGGAAAGAAAAGAACCAGGACCAACAGGACCAAAAUGGAAUCACAGAAGUACAGUCAAGACCAAAUUGGCUGUUUGAUCUUUUCUUCUAUAGGUUUUGCUCUAGUAUCUGUGUCCAUCAAAGGGGUUAUAUGGAGAUACUAGCACCUGGUAAUGCCCAUGUGAGCCAAGCAAGUCCCCGUGUGACCACCCAGUAGAUGCUUUCCCUGUUUUUACAGAUGAAUUAGAGGCAUGAAGUAACAUUAAUUGGAACUAGGAUUUCAAGCCAGGUCUAUAUUCAAAUCUAAAGUGUAGUAGUAGUAGUAGCAGCAGCAGUAGCAGUAGUAGUAUUUUGCUGCUCUGUAUGCCAAUAGAUUCAGAUACAGAUUCCUCAUGUACUGAGAACAAAAAGGAGGGAGUGGGGGUGGGGUUUGGAGUUGAGUGUUGAAGACACUUUAAACUUCUUACCACAGACACUUUAUACCCACCGGACAGUUUACUUAACUCCAAGUAAAAUGCCAAGUUCAUGUAAAUUCACACAAAACCCUUUUUAUUUGUUUUAGGUAGGAAAGUUACAUUUUUUUGAAAAUUAAAAAAUAAGAGUUGUUACAGUUUUGCUUUAUAUUUGCAAAUAUGUCUUAUUUUUCCAUUCUUUUAUUUUGCUGGAUGAAGCCUCUUACCCAAAGUAUUCUACUUUGAGGGCUGAGCGAUAUUUGUAUGUACGUGCGCAUGGGUGCACGUGUGCACCCAGGAGCAUGUACAUUAGUCUUCAAUUCCCACCAGAUUUAAUAAUGAUUGCAUAUUAGGAACUAAGUAAAAACCCCAGUGAAUUACAAAUGAGUGACAUUAAUAGGAAAUUUGUACAGAUGUUAUCAGAAGUUAAAGCAAAAAAUGACUGAAAGGAAGCAAAAGUCAGUAUAGAAAAAUACAUAAAUAACUAUAUAUACAUACAUUGCACAUUUAACAUGUGAUGAAGAUACAUAUAAAGGGCACAGAAAGAGAGAGAAUGAGUCAUCAUUUAAAGGGAAGAUCUAAACUCAUUUUAUAUAGGGGUUUGGUGUUUUCUCAGAAAACAGUUGUCUGUCUGGGGAGGGAGGCACCCCAAGGAAAGGGAACAAGCGCCCCAUUACUUGCUUCUCACAUCAAAUAUGGCAUCUGCUCCUUGGAAUGAAUUAUGUUGUGUCUGCGUUGAUCCAAAGUUAAGUCUUCUCCUUGGUCCAUGAAAAGGCAGGAUUCAUUAGAAAUUCUCCAUUCCACCCUUUGAGGCUUUCUUUAAUUGUCAUGUACUUAACAGUAAGAAAAAAAGGAAGGCAAAUUGUUUAUCCACAAGCAAAAAACCACAGAGCUGUUUCAAGACUUUAGAAAUCGACAAUUGCCCCACUUGCAUGUGUGCACUUUGAGAAGAGCCUGAAAUCCUUGGAGUCCAGCAGGACUUCAGUUCACUAGAGAGAUUUUAAACUUGGCAGUUAAAAUCCAAAAGUAGUUUUGAGAAAUAUUCGGCCAAUGAUUGAAUAAAAAUGAUGAAGAAUCUUACCUUUUAAAAACUGAUUUCUGGGCUCCUGGGUGGCUCAGUAGGCUAAGUGUCUGCCUUUGGCUCAGGUCACGAUUUCAGGGUCUUGGGAUUGAGUCCCACAUUGGGCUCCCUGCUCAACAGGGAGUCUGCUUCUCCUCUGUCCCUCCCCUUGGCUCAGGUCAUUCUCUCUAUUUCUCUCAAAGAUAAAUAAAA